AAAAAAAUGAUUCUGACCCCUUGUAAAUGUUACAUGUUUUUAUCUGGUUAAUUUCACUGAUUUUAAUGUGUUAUUUAAUCCUACUUAUUUUUUAUUAUUAGUUUUCAAAUUUACUGCUUUUGUUUAAAACAAGUUAAUUUCAUUCAAUUAAAAGUAAUUAGAAAAAAAUACGUUUCAUUUAAUUUCCAUAUACUAUCCGGUCUGCGCAUGUGCAGACACUUUUUUUCCUGAAGGGGCCAAGGCGGGGAGAUUGAACGUGAUGCACUCAUUUGAAUGCUGCAUCCAGCUCUGCAUUUUCGACCCGCCCCUACUCUGACGCUGACUGGCUCCGACCGAUCGUGACGUCGCUCCACUUGCGCAAACCUAACCAAAGAGCUUUUUUGACCUAACCAACGAUUGCAACGAACACUAGCCAAUCAGAGGCAGAUCUUCGCGGAAUGCGGGUAGGAAAAGUAAACAAGCUUCUCUUUCGUGGCAGCGGCAUGGGUCGCAGUCCUCGUGGACUGUCUCCGACUCGCCUUAUCAGGGUUUAAAACGUAAAGAUAAAUGUUGAAUUCCAGCGCAUAACAACCAUCCCACUUGAAACAACCUUUAUGGCUCAGUUGGACAGCCAUUUACCCUAGCUGACAUCAGGAAGGUGUUUCUGGCCAAAAACUAGCCAAACAUCUGGCGAUCUUGCAAGAGGCUACAAGUGACAUCAAUCUUAAAAGGGCAGCAGUCCUCAAGGCACUUUGCAUCUAUCUUGGUGAGGAUGAUGAACAUCUCAUUCAGGAGUAUAA